rnacentral:misc_RNA from 1 species
AGCACAUCUCAAGAUGGGAUUUUACAAGUAACUUCAAAGAACUCAAAAAUUCAAGUCAUGUGGAGGUAUCUACAGCUGAAGUUAUGGGGUUGGUAUGAUCCAAUAGUUUUUUGCUCAACAAAAAGGGAUUGUAAUUGGAAUUCAUAAACUUAAAAUUAUGAAUCCAACUUACAAAGUCGGAAUUACUUCUAGCUAGCCAGAACUGCCCA